CCGCCAUCUUGGUUUAGAUGAAAACAAUAAAAACAAACUUUUACUUUGAAAUAGAUUCAUGUUUUUCCCGCCAGAGGAGUCUUCUGUGGAGGUAGAAACGUUCAGAGUGGAGACUACCUGCUGUACCUUGCCAAAGCUGCCUUUCCCAAGCAUCUUGUGCAGGAUGAAGUCAUCGACUGUGAAUUUCGGGUGGUGGUCCUUCCUGGGGACGGCGUACAGAGGCUCCUCGUCUGUCAGCUCCUCUGCGAUCGAACUGUUGCCGUCAGCUGGUCCGUCCCAUGAGACACCCUGCACAUCUGCAGGAAGACGCAGGUGUAGCUGUGGCUGAGACACCCGUCACUAACCCAGACGGAGCUCGGACCACUCCGGGUUGGCCGAUACCUACUGGACCUUCUCGACCAAUGAUGUCAGAUUCUUUGAUGCUUUUGGCCUAGAGGCAAAAAGGAGGUGCCAGUGUUCACGUAAUGGCCUCUGGGUUUGCAGCAUGGCAGCACUGCAGGGCACCGAGCAGGUAACACCUGCAGGAGGACAGGUCUCUGUUUGGACAGAUUUAAUGUCCCAGAUUGGAAAUAAAAAAGUAU